CACGGGUGGCUGCAGUGGGGAAUAUUGGACAAUGGGCGAAAGCCUGAUCCAGCCAUGCCGCGUGUGUGAAGAAGGCCUUCGGGUUGUAAAGCACUUUCAGUGGGGAAGAAAGCCUUGGGGCUAAUACCCUCGAGGAAGGACAUCACCCACAGAAGAAGCACCGGCUAACUCCGUGCCAGCAGCCGCGGUAAUACGGAGGGUGCGAGCGUUAAUCGGAAUUACUGGGCGUAAAGCGCGCGUAGGCGGUCUGAUAAGCCGGUUGUGAAAGCCCCGGGCUCAACCUGGGAACGGCAUCCGGAACUGUCAGGCUAGAGUGCAGGAGAGGAAGGUAGAAUUCCCGGUGUAGCGGUGAAAUGCGUAGAGAUCGGGAGGAAUACCAGUGGCGAAGGCGGCCUUCUGGACUGACACUGACGCUGAGGUGCGAAAGCGUGGGUAGCAAACAGGAUUAGAUACCCUAGUAGUC
rnacentral:rRNA from 1 species